rnacentral:lncRNA from 1 species
UAUUGAUUGACAUAAAAUAAUUUAAUAAUAAGUCUGUGCCUCGAUCUCUAUGGAAUCUACAAUUGCCAAACUUGUAACAAGUUCACUAGAUACAUAUAAACUUUGUUUUAAUUAUUUCCUCACUAGGUACAGACUCCAUCUAGAAUUCACCUGAUGUCCAAAACUUAUAAUCUUAUGACGUCUGAGUGUUUUCGACCGAGUAG